AUGAUGUCAAGCUUCCAAGAAAAGCCCUAUACCCGUUAAGGCAUGAUGGCCUGCACCCGAAACCGACACAGGUGGGGUGGUAGAGAAUACCGAGGGGCGCGAGGUAACUCUCUCUAAGGAACUCGGCAAAAUGGCCCCGUAACUUCGGGAGAAGGGGUGCCACCGCGAGGUGGUCGCAGUGAAGAGGCCCAGGCGACUGUUUACCAAAAACACAGGUCUCCGCUAAGUCGCAAGACGAUGUAUGGGGGCUGACGCCUGCCCAGUGCCGGAAGGUUAAGGAAGCUGGUCAGCGCAAGCGAAGCUGGCGACUGAAGCCCCGGUGAACGGCGGCCGUAACUAUAACGGUCCUAAGGUAGCGAAAUUCCUUGUCGGGUAAGUUCCGACCCGCACGAAAGGCGUAACGAUCUGGGCGCUGUCUCGGAGAGAGGCUCGGCGAAAUAGAAUUGUCUGUGAAGAUGCGGACUACGUGCACCCGGACAGAAAGACCCUAUGAAGCUUUACUGUAGCUUGGUAUUGUGCUCGGGCUCGGAAUGCGCAGGAUAGGUGGGAGGCUUUGAUCCAUUGCUUGCGGGUGAUGGUGAGCCACUGGUGAGAUACCACUCUUUCCGAGCUAGAGUUCUAACAGCAACCCGUUAUCCGGGUGCUGGACAGUAUCAGGUGGGCAGUUUGACUGGGGCGGUCGCCUCCUAAAAGGUAACGGAGGCGCGCAAAGGUCUGCUCAGGCUGGUUGGAAAUCAGCCGACGAGUGUAAAAGCAGAAGCAGGCUUGACUGUGAGACCUACAAGUCGAACAGGGAGGAAACUCGGCUUUAGUGAUCCGACGGUUCUGCGUGGAAGGGCCGUCGCUCAACGGAUAAAAGUUACUCUAGGAUAACAGGCUGAUCUCCCCCAAGAGUUCACAUCGACGGGGAGGUUUGGCACCUCGAUGUCGGCUCAUCGCAACCUGGGGCUGAAGUCGGUCCCAAGGGUUGGGCUGUUCGCCCAUUAAAGCGGUACGCGAGCUGGGUUCAGAACGUCGUGAGACAGUUCGGUCCAUAUCCGGUGCACGCGCAGGAAUAUUGAGAGGAUUUCUCCCUAGUACGAGAGGACCGGGAGGAACGCACCUCUGGUGUGCCAGUUAUCGUGCCAACGGUAAACGCUGGGUAGCCAUGUGCGGAGUGGAUAACCGCUGAAAGCAUCUAAGUGGGAAGCCCACCUCAAGAUGAGUAUUCCCAUGGCAUAAGCCAGUAAGGUCACGGGAAGAACACCCGUUGAUAGGCUCUACGUGGAAGCGCAGUAAUGUGUGAAGCGGAGGAGUACUAAUAGACCGAGGGCUUGAC
rnacentral:rRNA from 1 species